AAAGUUUAUGUGGAACUUAAAAAUUCUUAUUUUUUUGUUGGAAAAAAUGGAAGAGAUGAAAUUUUUUUCUAGCAUUAAUACUUCGAUGCAAAAGAAACCGCAUGAAUUUCUUGUUACGCGUCCUUUUCCGAUAGCUGAGUGGUCAGCGCGCUGUUCUGUUGGCGGAGGAAUGGAAAGGUGGCAAGUCGGACCUCACCCGUAGACGCUCUGGUGCUACCAAGAAAGACAGAAAUUCUUUAUAAUAUCCACCACUUGACGAUCGACUGGGAAAGGAGAAAUCCAGCCACCAAAUCCAGAUAGUAACGAAUUAACAUCCAAAACAUUUUACGUGGGUACCACUGUAGAGUCCUUUUUGGAAUGAGAAUCGUGUAAAACCAGUUACGUCCUUCAUCAAGAUUAAAAUCAUGGAUCUUCUGAUUACUAAAUGAAAAUGCUACUAGUUACAACGCUGUGAUAGCACGGACUACCAAAGAUUAUAAUUCUUUGUAUUCCCUUCCAAUGAAAAGGCAGGUGGCGAGAGAGAAACCAGAAGUGACUGGGUCUCUUCCUUCUCUCCUGUCAGCGAAAUCCUGAUAAUGACAAAUUAUCAUACACCACAUUUUAGGUUAGGUUAAUUGAAUAUGGCAAAGCACACAAUGGCAAUCAACCUAAGAGUAGGGAUAUGCCUUUGUAGAGGAUAUUUCUAAAGGAAGCUAACUAGUAUUUACCUUAAAUAUGUCAUCACUUUUAAUUAGAGGCUUCUGAAGAGCUUUAGGGUCAAAAAUCAACUACAGCUUUGCCAGGAUUUGAACCACGAUCUUCCAACUUGUAACCGGACAUGCUAUCAGUUAGAUUAUGAGAACUUGUAGUGAGGAAGGUUAAAUUUUUUAUAAUCUAAUCACAAGGCAUGGAUGAUGUAGAAACUGUCUCAAGAAGAUCUGUAAAUCUUGUUUUUCAUUGACAACUGCAGUGGAAGACACUAAGGAAAAUGUAUAAUAAUUCAUACAAUCAAACUGUGUGUCAAAUAAUUAACAGAAAGCAUUUUAAAUAUAAUAUUUAUUCACGAACACUGAUUUAGACUGAUAAGCCAGUUACCACUCUAAUCUAAAUUAAAAGGACAAAGUUGUGUGAAAUUUAAAAUAACCUUUUUACUAACUGAAAUUUAACAGCCUUAUUAACUAAAAAAAAAAAGAUAGAUAAAUCUCUUACAUAAAAACAAUGGAAUUUUAAAAGAUAUGCUACACAGUAUAGAUAGAAUGUUGUUGGGAUAUAUAUACAUAUAUAGGGUGUUUCAACAACAGUUACAAACUUUCAGGAGAGAUAAGAGUACACGGAGAUGAUGCACAGAUAGCAAUGCAUGGUCAGAAACACUUUUCCUGGUAUGGUGGUGAUGACACAAAUUACAAGAAAGGAAGGACACAAAUAGGGUAAGAAAACAUGUCUAUGCACAGCAGAAACCAAGGAAUAAGAACAAAAACAGAUAAUGAUCGUCAUCAAAGGUGGGUGUUCGAAAUUACCCUGGACAGUGAUGCAGUGUGUCAUGCACCUUCCCUGUGCCAGGGAUGCGAGAUAUCUUUCAUUAUUUAAAGUUGGUAGAUAUAAUAUAUGCCACCCUAAAUGAUCUUGCUACCAUGCAUUUUCUUUCCCAAGUUCACUGAACUGAUACUUCAAUAGUUAUUUUAAUCAUUAAUGAUGUCACAUGAUUCAUAAAGCAUGAUAUAUUAAUCGGAGUAAGACCCUGAUUAUCUGACAAAUCGAAUAAUGCUUUAAAUUAAAAUGACCAGCUGUGGUACCUGCAUCCUAUACAAUGUUCAAUCCUUGUUUCAAUCCUCAAUGAUAUGCCUGGAAUAAAUUUCUGAUAUGUUUAUGUUAACUCGUCCAAUGCAGAGACAGAACUAUUACUUUUUACCUGGUCAAUGAUCUCUCUCACUGUUUCUGAUUAUUCUCAUUUUCAAAAGCAAUACUUAUAUACUUGUAAAUGUAAACAUUGUAGUUGUUUAAUAUUGAAAUUUCAAUUCUUUUUUUUUACUUACAUAUGCAUAUUUUAAAAUAUGAACUCUUUUUUUAUGCUUGUAACAUUUUUUGUGAUCUCUAUGGGUGUUGAGGUUACAAUAGUUUUUUAGUAGUUCAGAAUGGUAAACGGCUCAAGAACCAAGAUAUUUAAAAUAACGUGUUAUUAAAAUUCUUUUUUUUCACACAUUUCUUUUUACUAUGCAAGAAAGUAUGUAAUUUUUAAUUUUGGAGUACUCCCAAUUGCAGCUGUGUGCCCAUAACACAUUUUUUUUUCUCUUCGCCUUUUAGAAUCGUGUGAACCAAGUUGUUGAAGUCACUGCUAACAUUAAGAAUAAUAACUAUAUUAAAAAUAAAUGAUAAUUAAAGUAGGCACCUUAUGCAUUUCAUAACAUCAAAGCAGUUCACAGAAUACAAAUCAUAAAAUUAGAUCAUAAUUAACAAAGCUUAUGACAAACAAAUGUAUGGAUUUUAUUAUUCAAAUCUUAAAAUUCACAAUUUUAAAUAUAUAAAAAUGACAUUUUUUUCCUGUUUUACAAAAUAAAAGUUGUAAAACUUUAGCUUCCAUUUAGAUUGCUUUACAAAUCAUUCUCAUCCACAGCUUUAGAACAAAGAAUAAUUAAAAUAAACAUUUUGAUAUUUUCUAAUGUUUUCAGAUACUAGUUUACUAUUUUUGUAUGUUAACAGUUCAAAUUAACUUUGUGAAUAAACAUGCCAGAAGAGUAAAAAAUUGAACAAAAAUUUAGAACCUUUUUUAAUACUCCAAAUAGUAAAUUAUUUACAGGUAAAGACAUUUGGAGCAAAUCAUUCGGAUACUUUCAUCAAUUUACACCCUAAAUAUAUAUAUCUAUAUAUAUAAGAUUGAAAUGAAAAGGAUAGUUAAAAUUAGCUAAAGCUUUAAAAAACAUUUGAUGCAGCUAAUUCCAAAGUUUACAUGUAACACCAAGUUAAAACAAUUACACUAAAUGAAAGCAGUUAAAUUUUAUGUGAAAUAACCUACUGAAAAUACUACAGAGUUGAAUAAAACCUAUACAACAAAAUCAAAAAAGAACUUUGAAAAUACUAAAAAAAAUUUCUUUUAAAACCUAUACCACAAAAUCAAAUUUAGUUCAUUUAAAAAAACCUAUACAACAAAAUCAAAUUU